rnacentral:rRNA from 1 species
CCUACGGGGGGCAGCAGUGGGGAAUAUUGCACAAUGGGGGAAACCCUGAUGCAGCGACGCCGCGUGAAGGAAGAAGUAUUUCGGUAUGUAAACUUCUAUCAGCAGGGAAGAAAAUGACGGUACCUGACUAAGAAGCCCCGGCUAACUACGUGCCAGCAGCCACGGUCAUACGUAGGGGGCAAGCGUUAUCCGGAUUUACUGGGUGAAAGGGGAGCGUAGGCGGCGGUGUAAGUCAGAAGUGAAAGCCCGGGGCUCAACGCCGGGACUGCUUUUGAAACUGGGUUGCUAGAUUGCAGGAGAGGUGAGUGGAAUUCCUAGUGUAGCGGUGAAAUGCGUAGAGAUGAGGAGGAACACCAGUGGCGAAGGCGGCUUACUGGACUGUAAAUGACGCUGAGGCUCGAAAGCGUGGGGAGCAAACAGGAUUAGAUACCCCAGUAGUC